AAGGAACUCGGCAAAAUGGUCCUGUAACUUCGGGAGAAGGGACGCUUCCUCUAGUGAUAGAGAAGCCGCAGUGAAAAGACCCAAGCGACUGUUUAACAAAAACACAUGGCUUUGCUAACGCGUAAGCGGACGUAUAAGGCCUGACACCUGCCCGGUGCUGGAAGGUUAAGGGGGGAUGUUAUCUUCGGAGAAGCAUUGAACUGAAGCCCCAGUAAACGGCGGCCGU
rnacentral:rRNA from 1 species